GGAAAUGGAAGGAAAUAAAGAAGGAUGAAAGCAGAGGGGAAGUAAGGAGAGAGAAGGAGAGGGGCCGUGAGCAACCUCCCCACUUUGCCGUGGUCCCAGGAGGUCCUGGGGCUCAGAGGCCCCUAGCUGAGCAGCAUGCAGGAUCUUAGUUCCCUAACCAGGGAUCAAACCUAUGUCCCCUGCAUUGGGAACAAGGAGUCUUAACCACCAGACCGUCAGCUAUCAUUAACUCAUAGGAAAUCACCCUAGAGACCCCACAAUGAAAUUCCUAUCCUGGAACUCAAACACAUCAGGCUCUUCCCCGGGAUAAAGACCAGCAUCAUUCCCAC
ensembl:lncRNA